rnacentral:rRNA from 1 species
GACGAACGCUGGCGGCGUGCUUAACACAUGCAAGUCGAACGGAAAGGCCCUGCUUGCAGGGUACUCGAGUGGCGAACGGGUGAGUAACACGUGGGUGAUCUGCCCUGCACUUCGGGAUAAGCUUGGGAAACUGGGUCUAAUACCGGAUAGGAACCAUCUUUAGUGUGGUGGUUGGAAAGUUUUUUCGGUGUAGGAUGAGCUCGCGGCCUAUCAGCUUGUUGGUGGGGUAAUGGCCUACCAAGGCGGCGACGGGUAGCCGGCCUGAGAGGGUGUACGGCCACAUUGGGACUGAGAUACGGCCCAGAGUCCGACGGGAGGCAGCAGGGGGGAAUAUUGCACAAUGGGCGCAAGCCUGAUGCAGCGACGCCGCGUGGGGGAUGAAGGCCUUCGGGUUGUAAACUCCUAUCGCUAGGGACGAAGCUUUGUUGUGACGGUACCUAGAUAAGAAGCACCGGCUAACUACGUG